rnacentral:rRNA from 1 species
GAUGAACGCUGGCGGCGUGCUUAACACAUGCAAGUCGAGCGAGAAAAGUUCUUCGGAGCUUUUCUAGCGGCGGACGGGUGAGUAACACGUGGGCAACCUGCCUCAUAGAGGGGAAUAGCCUUCCGAAAGGAAGAUUAAUACCGCAUACUAUUGUUGAAAGGCAUCUUUUAACAAUCAAAGGAGCAAUCCGCUUUGGGAUGGACCCGCGGCGCAUUAGCUAGUUGGUGAGGUAACGGCCCACCAAGGCGACGAUGCGUAGCCGACCUGAGAGGGUGAUCGGCCACAAUGGAACUGAGACACGGUCCAGACUCCUACGGGAGGCAGCAGUGGGGAAUAUUGCACAAUGGGGGAAACCCUGAUGCAGCAACGCCGCGUGAGUGAUGAAGGCCUUCGGGUCGUAAAGCUCUUUGAUCAGGGACGAUAAUGACGGUACCUGAAAAACAAGCCACGGCUAACUACGUGCCAGCAGCCGCCGUAAUAC